rnacentral:rRNA from 1 species
UGGGGAAUCUUGCGCAAUGCGCGAAAGCGUGACGCAGCAACGCCGCGUGGGGGAAGACGGCCUUCGGGUUGUAAACCCCUUUCAGUUGGGACGAAGCUUCGACGGUGAAUAGCCGGCUGGAGUGACGGUACCUUCAGAAGAAGCCCCGGCUAACUACGUGCCAGCAGCCGCGGUAAUACGUAGGGGGCAAGCGUUGUCCGGAAUCAUUGGGCGUAAAGAGCGUGUAGGCGGUUCAGUAAGUCUGUCUG